AUCCUACGAAAGCAGAUGGUAAGAUCUCUGAGUCGGCAGAAAAAUCAGCCGACGAAGACGGAACCGUGUCGACCACGAUCUCCCGUCCACGCGGUCGGGCAAAUCGCCGCAGUCGCUGGAUUCAGAGACCUCGGUAACCCACAGAUCACUCACCAGUCACGGAUUUUGAAGCGCAUUUGAACACAGAGGUAGAAAGGGAAUACAGUCGAUUCCAGUAGCGCCAUUUGGAUAUUGACUUGGAUCUUACGAGCAAUAUAUAUGUUUAUGCUUUUUUGACACGAUUUAGCUACAGAUCACUUACUAUUUAUCAGCAACAAAAUACAGAUAAAAAUUACAUAGCGAACACCUUUUUCAGUUCAUUUUUAAUGUAUAAAAUAAUCUUAAUCACCUGGAUCUGAAGAUGCGCCAUUCGAUUUAUUUUUGUAAUAUUUUAUCUUUUUUGGUCCCUGGUCAAUCUGUUGCUCAUAUUCUACAGCCUCUUCCUCUUUUGACUGGCUUACUCGUCAUCCCCUCGCUCGCUCGUCCUGGGUUUCGUUCGCCCGGCCAGAAGGGAGUGACGAUUUGGUCAACGCACCCCACCUCUCAG
rnacentral:lncRNA from 1 species